rnacentral:piRNA from 1 species
UGUGAUGCUGCUGAAGAAGAGGGCUGU